AAUAUUUAAAUGCAAGUUGGUGUGUCAUUAUUAAACUGUAUACUCAGGCACCACUAAAUUACUUCUGACUCAUAAUUAAAUACUUAUUCUAGGCAUUUGAACUCCCUGCACUUAAUGGAACAAUCAAUUGCUGCAUAUAUUUCAACACUGAACAACUGACUUCGUGUUCCAGUUGCCUGCUGAAAGGGUGCCGGGAUCUGUGUGAUUUCCCAUGCGGUGACUCACUGUGCUGGCUGAAAGAACGGUGCUGCCCGGGAAUCUCCUGUGUCUCACCUGUGUUGCCCCUGUGGGCCUUCAACUCCUGAACUCAACAGAUCCUCCCGCCUCAGCCUCCAGAGUACUGGGACUACAGGUGUUCAGAAAAGCCUGUUGGCCAGCUUCUCCACCAUCUAAACAUUAUUUAUCUGAAUGUUUAAGCUGUGCCUGAAGACCUUCAACGAGACGAGGUUGCAUCCCUCUCAGAUUCUAAGCAGCCCCUCGACCUGAGACCCAGAAGGCCAGGAAGCCAGCGCACUCAACCAGGGCGGCAGGCUGUGGAAGGAAGUCGUUCCGUGGCUUCAGGCUCAAGUGACACAGAACUUGGGGCCUCGAGCACCUACAGGGCCUGUGUUCCUUGGAAUGGACCGGGGCCUCGGAUGUUUUUCACGGACAAUGAACGAAUCUCCUGGUUGGCCACUCCUGGAUUCCCUAGCUUGGAACACCCCAUUCAGGUGAUGCUUACUCCUCCUCACCUUCUGCCAUGAGCGGAAGCUUCCUGAAACCCUCAUCAGACAUAGAUGCUGAUACUAUGUCUCUUGCGCAGCCUGCUGAACCGUGAGCCAGAUAAAAUUAUUUUCUUUAUAAAUUACCCAGCCUUGGGUAUUUCCUAAUAGCAACACAAAUGAACGAAGACACCUAGUGUCCAUUAAUGGAAAAAUGGAUAAAAAAAUGAAGGUAAUAUGUAUAUGGUACAUACAUACAUACAAUGGAAUAUUAUUCAGCCUUCUCAAGGAAGAAAAUUUUGACACAUGCUACAAUAGGAAUAAACUUUGUGGACAUCAUGCUAAGUGAAAUUAACUAAUGUCAUAAAAUAAUGCCAUAAACUAAUUAUUCCAUUACCGUAAGUACUCAGAGUAGUCAAAUCCAUAGAGAAAGUAGAACAGUGGUUGCCAGGGACUAGGAGAAGAGGAGAACAUGGAGUUUUUUAAUGCAAUUCCACAUUUCAGUUUUUUGAGAGGCAAGGGGUUCUUGAGGUUGUUUGCACAACAACGUGAAUACAUUUAGUCAAUGGAACUGUACAUUUUAAAGUAUUUGAGAUGAUACACUUUAGUUCUGUGUGACAAUUUAAAAUAAUUUAAAAUUCUAAUUAAAAAAGAGCUGUGCGAGCCAUUUUUCUACCUUCCCUGUUAGUUGCCUGCAUUUUUGACAAAUCCAAAGAUAAUUUUAUAUUAGGUAAGUAGUUUCUCUCUAUGUGUACCUUGGUGCCAGUGGCAAUCUUCUCACACUGUCGUGACCUCUUUCCAGUUUAUGCUUUGCAUAGCACAUGGUAGCUUGAGUUCAGGGUGACAUUUUUUGAACUGCUCAAUCACUUUUUCUGUUUGAAGUGUGGGCUCACUCUGGGAAGACAUGCGAACACUGCGGGUAUGUAAUUGCUCAUUUAUCUUCUCUGCGCAUGACCAAGACAAAGGCAGCUCUUUUAUGAACACAAGACAGAGACUGGGCAGUCAGGUUCUGUGUGGGGUCUCUGCAUUGUCUUGUCUUGAAUUGACAGAUGAAGGUCAUAAAUUAGGUUCCCUGAACAAAAGUUAGGGUUUCAGUCAAAGCUCUCCAAAGGACAUCACUGAGUAAAGAAUUUGGAAACUUCUGAGGAAUCCCAUUUGGUUUAUAUUAUUGAUAAGGUUACUUCAGAAUGCGCUUCUCUGGUAAAAACUGGGCAACUCUAGUCUCUUUCUGUUUAUCUGUCCUUUUUCAUUGGUAUUAGUCUUAACAACAGCACCCUUGACAUCUGGCUUGAUUUUCUCUUCCCUAAGAUGCAAGUUGCUCACCUACACAGAGUUUCUUCCUGCUCUUCCCCUGCUGGUGCCCACAAUUAGAUGGUCUUGGCCCCAGUUGUGGAGUUGCAAGUGAGACCUUUCCCUGGGUGAAUUUGCCAGCCAGUGCAGUGAGAUAAAAUAUUCUGAGGGUUAAUCUCUCGUCCUAAUGAAGUAAGUUUUAACAUUAAAAUUCUAAUAAUGCUUAUUUUUCCACUUAAUAGACUUCAUGACUGUAAAAAUCUUUCUGAGGUUUUCAAAAGGAAGAGCUGCUAACAAGUAAAUCUGGUAGAAGAUAUGUUUUCUAGCUGAGGUCUCACAUCUGUUUAUAUACCUCACAGGGCCACCUCAGCAUCUCUAAAUGAGUAAUUAGCACUUUCCCUGCUAUUUACAAUAAUGGAAACCCUAACUAUAAAAGGCCAAAUUUUGGGAACAGUUCAUAUUACAGUCUAAGCUUUGUUUUGAAAAGCUUUAUUCUUUAAUGUGCACAGGUCUAUAAAGAAAUUCAUUGCUCUCAUAUCCAGAAUGCACAGAUUAGUGGAAAAACAAGACCAAAAGAAAAUUAAGUUCAAUUAUUUUUCUUCAUAUGGGUGGCAUUUGUUGUAAA